CACAGCACAGAGAAGAUUAGCAUGGCCCCUGGGAAAGGAUGACAUACAAAUUGGUGAAGCGUUCCAUAUUUAA
rnacentral:snRNA from 1 species